GGCUGUGUUAGAGGUUGUGACAGGGACUGUGACAGUGGCUGUGACAGGGGCUGUGACAGGGGCUAUGACAGAGUCUGUGAUAGAGGUUGUGAUGGGACUAUGACAGGCUGUGAUAGAGGCUGUGAUAGGGACUGUGACAGGCUGGGACAGGGGCUGGGACAGAGGCUACUACAGGGGCUGGGACAAAACUGAGACAGAAUCUAUGAUAGAGGCUCUGAUGGGGGCUAGGACAGAGCCUGUGACAGGGGCUGUGACAGAGUCUGUGACAGAAGCCAUGACAGGAACUGUGACAGGGGCUAUGACAGGGGCUGUGAUAGGGGCUGUGACAGGGUCUGUGACAAGACUGAGACAGAAUCUGUGAUAGAGGCUGUGAUAGAGGCUGCGACAAAGGCUGUGAUGGACUGUGACAGGAGCUGUGACAGGAGCUGUGACAGAGUCUGUGAUAGAGGCUGUGAUGGGCUGUGACAGGGACUGUGACAGAGUCUGUGAUAGAGGCUGUGAUAGGGCCCGUGACAGACUGUGAUAGAGGCUGUGACAGGCUGAUACAGGGGCUGGGACAAAACUGAGACAGAAUCGACGAUAGAGGCUCUGACGGGGGCUAGGACAGAGUCUGUGACAGGGGUUGUGACAGAGUCUGUGACAGAGGCCAUGACAGAAGCUGUGACAGGGGCUAUGACAGAGGCUGUGAUAGGAGCUGUGGCUGUGACAGAAGCUGUGAUGGGGGCUAUGACAGAGACUCUAACAGGAGCUAUGACAGAGGCUGUGAUAGAGGCUGUAACAGGGGCUGUGACAGGUAUUGUGACAGGGGCUGAGGCUGUGACAGGAGCUGUAAUAGGGGCUAUGACAGAGACUCUAACAGGAGCUAUGACAGAGGCCGUGACAGAGGCUGUAACAGGGGCUGUGACAGGGGCUGUGACAGGUAUUGUGACAAAGGCUGUGGCAGGUACUAUGACAGAUGCUGCCACAGUGCUGUGACAAAGGCUGAGACAGGGACGGUGAGAGAGCCCGGGACAGAAAUGUGACUAAGUCUGGAACCACAAUCAGAGUUGGGACAACAGCUCCCGGAGCCCAGGCCUACACUCCCACGGUUGACAGAGCAGUUGGCGGUGACAGCAGCAACACAGCAAACACAUGGGCCCAGCCAGGCCCAGGCACUUGUGGAACUGCCAACAGGCUGAAGCUGCCACAGGAGAGCGAAAGGGGGUGAGUGAGGCCGGUUCCUAGCCCCCUGCUGUGGGUUCCUGUGUGUCCAUGGGAGAAGGUCCACGAUGCCAUGAGAAUCCCAAAGGCAUCUGUGACUCACAAGACAGUAAAGCCCCUGACUCAGGUCCUUGGAGGAAGAAGUGCCUCCUGCUGGGCUGUGCCCUCCCGCGAGACCCGGUCUGCCCCCCCUCUGGGUUUCUUCCACUGCUAUGGCUCUGCAGGCAGACUGUCCCCAGAGCCAUCUGGAGCUGUGUGCCUCGCUGCUCACCUGGACACAGCGCUGCGCCUCUAUCGACUGCCCUAGUUAAGAGCUGUUGAGCUGACUGCAGAGACCAAGUCUGCACCUGCCCCCUCCAGAGGUGGCCAGGCUUUGAGGUGGGGUAUAAGCAAAAGCCCUCUGAAUCUCUGGGCUUGCAGGAAGGAGCAGGAGUCCUGGAGCCAAAAAAGACGUGCACUU